UACGUAGGGGGGCAAGCGUUGUCCGGAAUCAUUGGGCGUAAAGCGCGUGUAGGCGGCCAGGUAAGUCCGUUCUGAAAGCCCGGGGCUCAACCCCGGGAGGCGGAUGGAUACUGCUUGGCUCGAGUCCGGAAGAGGCGAGUGGAAUUCCCGGUGUAGCGGUGAAAUGCGCAGAUAUCGGGAGGAACACCAAUGGCGAAGGCAGCUCGCUGGGACGGUACUGACGCUGAGACGCGAAAGCGUGGGGAGCAAACAGG
rnacentral:rRNA from 1 species